AUUGAACGCUGGCGGCAGGCCUAACACAUGCAAGUCGAACGAGUGGCGGACGGGUGAGUAAUGUCUGGGAAACUGCCCGAUGGAGGGGGAUAACUACUGGAAACGGUAGCUAAUACCGCAUACCAUCGGAUGUGCCCAGAGGGGAUUAGCUAGUAGGUGGGGUAACGGCUCACCUAGGCGACGAUCCCUAGCUGGUCUGAGAGGAUGACCAGCCACACUGGAAGUGAGACAAGGUCCAGAAUCCUACAGGAGGCAGCAGUGGAGAAUAUUGCACAAUGGGCGGAAGCCUGAUGCAGCCAUGCCGAGGGUAUGAAGAAGGCCUUCGGUUUGUAAAGUACUUUCAGCGAGGAGGCGUUACUCGCAGAAGAAGCACCGGCUAACUCCGUGCCAGCAGCCGCGGGAAUC
rnacentral:rRNA from 1 species